rnacentral:rRNA from 1 species
AUUGAACGCUGGCGGCAGGCCUAACACAUGCAAGUCGAGCGGAUGAAGGGAGCUUGCUCCUGGAUUCAGCGGCGGACGGGUGAGUAAUGCCUAGGAAUCUGCCUGGUAGUGGGGGAUAACGUCCGGAAACGGGCGCUAAUACCGCAUACGUCCUGAGGGAGAAAGUGGGGGAUCUUCGGACCUCACGCUAUCAGAUGAGCCUAGGUCGGAUUAGCUAGUUGGUGGGGUAAAGGCCUACCAAGGCGACGAUCCGUAACUGGUCUGAGAGGAUGAUCAGUCACACUGGAACUGAGACACGGUCCAGACUCCUACGGGAGGCAGCAGUGGGGAAUAUUGGACAAUGGGCGAAAGCCUGAUCCAGCCAUGCCGCGUGUGUGAAGAAGGUCUUCGGAUCGUAAAGCACUUUAAGUUGGGAGGAAGGGCAGUAAGUUAAUACCUUGCUGUUUCGACGUUACCAACAGAAUAAGCACCGGCUAACUUCGUG